rnacentral:lncRNA from 1 species
UUGUGAUGUGGUCUGACUCAAGAUCUCCAGCAGUUCGCGCCCUCAUCCUCAUGGAUACUGCUUCCUAAUUUCCAUCAGACUCAGCCCAAGAAGUCUUUCCGCCUCCUCCCUGGGUGCUGCUGCCUCUUCUCAGAACACUACUUCUUCUGGACCCUCCUUCCCUGAAACUAGCUGACCCCCACUGCCAGGCAAAGCCCCCAGCAGCCCCGACUGAUGGCAUGGAAGCCAAACACAGAGAUCUAGGAGGCCCUAUGAAAUCAGGACAAUGCAUCCAGGCUAAGAUAGGUCUCAGCGAUCCCUCUCCCUUUUAAACGUGAGUCUUCCCUCAGCUCCCUCUUCCCCUUGGGAUGUAUUCCUGGGCUCCCUGAAACAUUCCUUUCUUACAUGCCUCUACUGUUGUACAGAAAACUCCAAGGCACAUAAUCUUGCUAAUCAGUGCCACAAGCCUAUGAUUAUGCUGUUAUGCCCACUUAAAGAGGUGGAAAAUGAGACCAGAA